rnacentral:rRNA from 1 species
AGUGAACGCUGGCGGUAGGCCUAACACAUGCAAGUCGAACGGCAGCACAGAGGAGCUUGCUCCUUGGGUGGCGAGUGGCGGACGGGUGAGGAAUACAUCGGAAUCUACUCUGUCGUGGGGGAUAACGUAGGGAAACUUACGCUAAUACCGCAUACGACCUACGGGUGAAAGCAGGGGACCUUCGGGCCUUGCGCGAUUGAAUGAGCCGAUGUCGGAUUAGCUAGUUGGCGGGGUAAAGGCCCACCAAGGCGACGAUCCGUAGCUGGUCUGAGAGGAUGAUCAGCCACACUGGAGCUGAGACACGGUCCAGACUCCUACGGGAGGCAGCAGUGGGGAAUAUUGUACAAUGGGCGCAAGCCUGAUCCAGCCAUACCGCGUGGGUGAAGAAGGCCUUCGGGUUGUAAAGCCCUUUUGUUGGGAAAGAAAUCCAGCUGGCUAAUACCCGGUUGGAAUGACGGUACCCAAAGAAUAAGCACCGGCUAACUUCGUGCCAGCCGCCGCGGUAA